UACGUAGGGGGCUAGCGUUGUCCGGAAUCAUUGGGCGUAAAGCGCGCGUAGGCGGUCAGGUAAGUCAUACGUGAAAUCCCUCGGCUUAACCGGGGGAACUGCGUCUGAUACUGGAUGGCUUGAGUUCGGGAGAGGGAUGCGGAAUUCCAGGUGUAGCGGUGAAAUGCGUAGAUAUCUGGAGGAACACCGGUGGCGAAGGCGGGUCUCUGGGCCGAUACUGACGCUGAGGAGCGAAAGCGUGGGGAGCGAACAGG
rnacentral:rRNA from 1 species